GGCCAGAUGUGUCCGAAGUCGGUCCUCAAGGGCCGCUGUCCUGCCUGUUUUCCAGCUCGCCCAGGAGCAACACACCUGAUUCAAAUACGGGUAAUCAGGAACAUUCUAAUGCUGCUUCAGAGAUGGCUGAUGAGCUGAUCAUCUGAAUCAGGUGUGUUGCAGCCGGGAGAGCUGGAAAACAGGCAGAACAGUGGCCCUCCAGGCUUCGAGCUGGACAUAUGCCUGCUUUAGGCUCUGUUAACUACAUAUUUUUUUGCACAAGGGACAAGUGUGUCCGUAUAAACAGCACAUGCAAAACAGAUCACUGCAUUUUUGCAUCCAACUUCCUCUUUUAGACACUUCAAAGCUACAAGUUGAUUUUGAGCACAAGGACAAGGUUACAGCCUCUUUGGGGCCAUCGUGGUGUAAUAUUACCCUGCCACAGUCUCAGGCAAUAGUGUCACUUAUUAAUCAUUGACCCACCGGCUGGUGUUAGGUUCACUUGACUGAGGAUCAUGUUCGCAGUGCUGGGGGUGAUGAUACAUCAAACAAUUUUAUUUUUGGAAAUCAACAUAGAUUACAGAGGUGCCUCAGAGAGUAUAAUAUAAAUUUACUGGAUGUACAAAAAAAUUCAAUAUAAUGGAAUGCCAUACAUAUAAAACUUUUAAAACGUGAUAUUUUGGGGUUGGGGGGGGGGGGGAUUAUGAAUUAGAUAUGAAUAAAAUAAAAAGGAAAAGC